rnacentral:rRNA from 1 species
UCGAGCGAGUCUGCCUUGAAGAUCGGAGUGCUUGCACUCUGUGAAACAAGAUACAGGCUAGCGGCGGACGGGUGAGUAACACGUGGGUAACCUGCCCAAGAGAUCGGGAUAACACCUGGAAACAGAUGCUAAUACCGGAUAACAACAGAUGAUGCCUAUCAACUGUUUAAAAGAUGGUUCUGCUAUCACUCCUGGAUGGACCUGCGGUGCAUUAGCUAGUUGGUAGGGUAACGGCCUACCAAGGCGAUGAUGCAUAGCCGAGUUGAGAGACUGAUCGGCCACAUUGGGACUGAGACACGGCCCAAACUCCUACGGGAGGCAGCAGUAGGGAAUCUUCCACAAUGGACGCAAGUCUGAUGGAGCAACGCCGCGUGAGUGAAGAAGGGUUUCGGCUCGUAAAGCUCUGUUGUUGGUGAAGAAGGACAGGGGUAGUAACUGACCUUUGUUUGACGGUAAUCAAUUAGAAAGUCACGGCUAACUACGUGCCAGCAGCCGCGGUAAUACGUAGGGGGCAAGCGUUGUCCGGAUUUAUUGGGCGUAAAGCGAGUGCAGGCGGUUCGAUAAGUCUGAUGUGAAAGCCUUCGGCUUAACCGGAGAAUUGCAUCAGAAACUGUCGAGCUUGAGUACAGAAGAGGAGAGUGGAACUCCAUGUGUAGCGGUGAAAUGCGUAGAUAUAUGGAAGAACACCGGUGGCGAAGGCGGCUCUCUGGUCUGUUACUGACGCUGAGGCUCGAAAGCAUGGGUAGCGAACAGGAUUAGAUACCCUGGUAGUCCAUGCCGUAAACGA